rnacentral:rRNA from 1 species
GAUGAACGCUGGCGGCGUGCCUAAUACAUGCAAGUCGAGCGAACAGACGAGGAGCUUGCUCCUCUGACGUUAGCGGCGUACGGGUGAGUAACACGUGGAUAACCUACCUAUAAGACUGGCAUAACUUCGGGAAACCGGAGCUAAUACCGGAUAAUAUAUUGAACCGCAUGGUUCAAUAGUGAAAGACGGUUUUGCUGUCACUUAUAGAUGGAUCCGCGCCGCAUUAGCUAGUUGGUAAGGUAACGGCUUACCAAGGCAACGAUGCGUAGCCGACCUGAGAGGGUGAUCGGCCACACUGGAACUGAGACACGGUCCAGACUCCUACGGGAGGCAGCAGUAGGGAAUCUUCCGCAAUGGGCGAAAGCCUGACGGAGCAACGCCGCGUGAGUGAUGAAGGUCUUCGGAUCGUAAAACUCUGUUAUUAGGGAAGAACAAAUGUGUAAGUAACUAUGCACGUCUUGACGGUACCUAAUCAGAAAGCCACGGCUAACUACGUG